GGAGGCAUGGCAGAGCGGUUGAAUGCACUGGUCUUGAAAACCAGCAAGGGUGCAAGCCCUUCAGAGGUUCGAAUCCUCUUGCCUCCGC
rnacentral:tRNA from 1 species